UCCUACAUCUUGCUAGAAAUCAGAGUGUUAGGAACCCUUGUUCCAACCCAGAAAAGUCUUUUGCAGGAGAGCUCCAGAUCCCGUGACCUUGGCCAUCUGCAACAGGAAGAAAAGAUGCUCCUGAAAUUCUCUGUAUUGUUCCUUUGGAAUCAAAUGACUCGUGUGGGCACCCAACAGCUGGAGCAGAGUCCUCAGUUUCUGAAUAUCCAGGAGGGGCAAGAUUUCACUGCAUACUGCAACUCCUCAAGCACUUUCCCCCAACUUUACUGGUACCGACAGGUCCCCGGGGAAGGUCCUGUCAUCCUGAUGACGUUAGUCAAGAGUGGAGAAGUAAAGGGGCAGAAGAGGAUAAUUGCUAAGUUUGGUGAAGCAAGAAAGAACAGCUCCCUGUUUAUCAUCAGAGCCCAGCCUAGAGAUGCAGGCACCUACUUCUGUGCAGGAACACACUGCUCUUGUGGCCUUUGCUACCUGCCCCCAAACCCUGCAGCUGCAGGCUCUCACCACACUGCUUUCAUGAACCUUUUAGUUCCUCCUCCCCAGCUAUGGGCACGAACAAUGAUGGCAACCCAACCUCUCCUUGCCUCAUGGACCCAUUUUUUUUCUGCCUUUCUAGAAAACAUGGACCACAAACAUUUCUUCAAGACGAGGCUGUGCAUGUGGCCUCCUUUUAAACAUCAGUAA